GAGAAUCUUUGUGAGAUGACCUGGACCGUGAGCUCUCUUUAUGAGAUCUUUCUGAACGCUCUGAUCGCUCCGAUUUUGGUGAUGGGGAUUUCACUCGUCUACCACUGCUACUGCGAGAUGGGCUGGGGGAUGUACUGUGUCGCCUCUUCCUACGGAACAAAGCCCCCAAAACAUUCCAUAAAUGAGCAAAGGAUCAGGGACCAGGACAGAAAGUGAUCUCUCUCUUCCAACAAGACAGAAGACCCUCCACUUGGUUCCCCACCCACUAUUCUACUCUUCCAACCUUGCUGGUAGAAAUGGGGACAACAGCAGAGUAAGAAAAGGUAACUCCAGCCUAGGCACUGCUCUAAGUGGUAUCCGAAAGAUUAAGAACUGGCUUCUGGCCACCACAUCAUCAUAUAGCUACAAGAUUUUUGUGUUUUUACAAAGGAUGUUAGUAUUUUAUAACACGAAUCAUUUGGUUUUUAUUUAUUCCAUGCUAAAAAAUGUUUAGCUAUAGGUAUCUUUAUUAGGACACACAUGGGGAUGCAAAAUUACAGUAUACUACAGAAUAUAACAGAACUAACUGGAGAAACUAAUUUAGAACUUCAUUCUUUAUUUAAUGGUUCUCCAAUAAAAGGGUUAGUACUCACUGGAUUCUAAAUCUCGAAAUGGGUAUCGAAAUUUAGGGGCAGAGAACAGAGCUAGUUGUGAAAAGCCCUGGGAUAAAGCUCAUGAGUUUCGAGUUCUAGUCCAAAUUUGCCACCUGUUAUGGAACUUUAUUCCAUAUGACUAAAUCUCUCAGAGGAAAUACAGGAGAAGAUUAGAUAAUUCUAAGACGAAGCCAAGAUACACAUUUUAAAAUCAGGACUUAGUUCAUGGUCCAAAUCCCAGAAAGACAACUAAGUUGUGAGAGGCAGUCACUAUGAAAGCAGGAGAAAUAAUCACUGAAUACAUAAAGGACAGGCCAGAUUACAAAAGAGCACAUGAAGUAUGGAAAUGUAUGCAUAUAAGGUAUAUGUGUGCAAUGUGCAUGCACGUGUAUCGCAUAUAUACAUAUACAAGGUGGAAAGAACAAGGUUUGUAAAAACCACCUAAGUUAACAAAGAAGCUAAAUUAUAUGCUUUCCUCUCUUUAAGUUAAUAAGGAAAUAGAACAUUCUAAACAGUUGGGGCAUUUAUAUGAGGGAAUAGCUUGUAUUAUCAAGAAAAUAUAUUUUUAUUUAACUCAAGUCUGUUUCUACUCCAACAAUUUUCAUCAGGUCAGAAAGGCAGAGCUUUUUUUUUUUUUUUUUUUUUUUUUUUUUUUUUUUUUGCCAGAGUCUCACUCUGUCGCCCAGGCUGGAGUACAGUGGCAUGAUCUCGGCUCACUGCAAGCUCCGCCCCCCCGGGUCCAUACCAUUCUCCUGCCUCAGCCUCCCGAGUAGCUGGGACUACAGGUGCCCGCCACCACGCCUGGCUAAUUUUUUUUUUUGUAUUUUUAGUAGAGAUGGGGUUUCACCGUGUUAGCCAGGAUAGUCUCGAUCUCCUGACCUCGUGAUCCACCCGCCUCGGCCUCCCAAAGUGCUGGGAUUACAGGCAUGAGCCACCGCACGUGGUCAAGGCAGAGGUUCUUAUAAGGUGAGAGGAGUAAAAGAGGAGCAUGUGUAGGUUGAAAAGGUGCACAGGUGAGUGUGUUCACUGACACACAUCUUAUCCCCCUAAAAAUUGUAUUUAAAAUGUAUAUGAAUACAUCCCAGGAAAAAAUAAAUCAACUAAUCAACUCUGAAAA